rnacentral:siRNA from 1 species
UUUACUAGUGGAUGACGACAGC